rnacentral:rRNA from 1 species
AAGCGGAGGAGCAUGUGGUUAAUUCGAUGAUACGCGAGGAACCUUACCUGGGCUCGAACGUAAGAUGACUGUAGGUGAAAGCUUACAUCUCUUCGGAGCAUUUUACGAGGUGCUGCAUGGUUGUCGUCAGCUCGUGCCGUGAGGUGUCGGGUUAAGUCCCAUAACGAGCGCAACCCCUACCUUUAGUUGCCAUCAGGUUAAGCUGGGGACUCUAAAGGAACUGCCUACGCAAGUAGUGAGGAAGGCGGGGAUGACGUCAAAUCAGCACGGCCCUUACGUCCAGGGCUACACACGUGCUACAAUGGCCGAUACAGAGGGCAGCUACCUGGUGACAGGAUGCAAAUCUCCAAAGCCGGUCUCAGUUCGGAUCGGAGUCUGCAACCCGACUCCGUGAAGUUGGAUUCGCUAGUAAUCGCGCAUCAGCCAUGGCGCGGUGAAUACGUUCCCGGGCCUU